UGUCUCCACUCAAAUUCCAAAACUGAACCCAGAACCCGCAUCCAGAAAAAACCCAAUUUCCACAUAGAAAAUUCGACGCCGAAUUGAGAACCCUGUUAAGAGAAGAUGUCGACGGUGUACGUUUUAGAACCACCGACGAAGGGAAAGCUGAUAAUCAACACGACGUAUGGCCCGCUCGACAUCGAGCUUUGGCCUAAAGAAGCACCGAAAGCCGUUCGGAACUUCGUGCAGCUUUGCUUGGAAGGUUAUUUUGACAGCACAACCUUCCACCGCAUUAUCAAGGGAUUCCUCGUCCAAGGCGGUGAUCCCACCGGUUCCGGCACCGGUGGAGAAAGUAUUUACGGGAGUGUGUUUCCGGACGAGUUCCAUUCGCGUUUAAGGUUUAACCAUAGAGGUAUCGUUGCUUGUGCCAAUGCUGGUACCCCGCAUUCCAAUGGGAGUCAGUUCUUUAUAUCUUUGGAUAAAUGUGAAUGGCUUGAUCGAAAAAACACUAUUUUUGGAAAGGUUACUGGAGACUCUAUUUUCAAUCUUCUGAGGAUAGGUGAGGUCGACACUGAUCAGGAUGACCGACCUUUGGAUCCUCCUCCGAGAAUCAAAUCUGUCGAGGUAUUGUGGAACCCUUUUGAAGAUAUAGUUCCAAGAGUAACUUCGAGGCCUUCAAUCCAGCCAGCAGCUGAGGCUGAAAACAAAGACUCAAAGAAGAAAGCUGUUAAAAAGCUGAACUUGCUGUCAUUUGGGGAAGAAGCUGAAGAAGAAGAGAAAGAAUUAGCAGCAGUAAAGCUAAAGAUUAAGAGUAGUCAUGACGUAUUGGAUGAUCCCCGUCUCCUAAAGCAAGAUGUUCCAGAUAAAGAACAAGAUCCAUCUGAUGCCAAAGCUACUAAGGAUUUGCAAUUGUCUGUGAGGGGAGCACUAAGAUCAAGAAGAGAAGGAGAUAAAAAAGAUGCAGAAGCCGAGUUGUCUGAUUCUGUUGAUCAUAGUGAUGAUGAUGAUGAGGCUAGUUUUGAUGCUCGAAUGCGUCGUCAAAUACUAAACAGACAUAAGGAGCUUGUAAAUCUCCCAUCUAAGCAAAAGAUGCAAAACGGGAGCUCUAAACCAAAUGACAAUAAAAUUUCUGUGCGAAGAUUCAAUGAUGAGAGUACUGAUGAUGACCAACCAAGGGUAGAAAAGCUGUCUCUGAAGAAAAAGGGUAUGGGAUCAGAAGCCAAAGCUGAGCGCAUGGCUAAAGCUGAUGCAGAUUUACAGUUGUUCAGUGAGGCUGAACGAGGAAGAUUAUUGCAAAAACAAAAGAAGCGUAGACUUCGAGGACGUGAAGAUGAUGUUUUAGCAAAACUUGAGAAGUUCAAACAAUCUAUUUCCACAAAACCAGCAGCUUCAAGCAGUAAGCCUGAAGGUGGUGAUAAAGAGGAUUUGUCUGACUGGAAAGCAGUUCGGUUGGAGUUUGCUCCUGAUACCAAGGAUGGUAUGUCUCGCAAGGAUGAUCCAAAUGACUAUGUGGUGGUUGACCCUCUUUUGGAGAAGGGGAAAGAAAAGUUCAACCGGAUGCAAGCCAAGCAAAAGCAAAGGGAACGCGAAUGGGCUGGAAAAUCUCUUACUUGAUCUUCAUGUGCUCUGAUAAAAUGAUAAGUUGGUUCACAUGACUGCCCUGUUGAUUGCAUUGACAGUUAGGCUGCUGUGGGAAUAUGAAUUAUACUGUUACGCGGCCAAAGUCCCGAAAAUCGAAACACAGCUUGGGACUUAUUUUCUUCUAAGGAAUUAGUUAUCACACUAGAAUGGACGGUGUCAUAAGGCAAGAUUUAGUAGCAGUGUUGAGAUUAUUAAAAGAGAGAGAGAGAGAUGUGUAAUUAAAGUUAGAUAUAUGAAAUUGAUGGAAUUAAACUAAUGAUACAUUGUUUCUUAGAUUUGCGAGGUAAAAAGCUGUAGGGUGAAUCAUGGGGUCUCAAAAUUUCGUAAUCAUUUUCAUACCUUCUUUUCAAUAAUUUGUAUAACAAGUUGAAUCGUGGGAAGAAUUUGAGUCAUAUUCACUGUAUUUAUUUCAUCAUAUUUGUUACUUUUAUAUAUAUCUAUUACAUUACUAUGA